rnacentral:rRNA from 1 species
GAGUUUGAUCCUGGCUCAGGAUGAACGCUGGCGGCGUGCCUAAUACAUGCAAGUCGAGCGAACAGAUAAGGAGCUUGCUCCUUUGACGUUAGCGGCGGACGGGUGAGUAACACGUGGGUAACCUACCUAUAAGACUGGAAUAACUCCGGGAAACCGGGGCUAAUGCCGGAUAAUAUUUAGAACCGCAUGGUUCUAAAGUGAAAGAUGGUUUUACUAUCACUUAUAGAUGGACCCGCGCCGUACUAGCUAGUUGGUGGGGUAAUGGCUUACCAAGGCAACGAUACGUAGCCGACCUGAGAGGGUGAUCGGCCACACUGGAACUGAGACACGGUCCAGACUCCUACGGGAGGCAGCAGUAGGGAAUCUUCCGCAAUGGGCGAAAGCCUGACGGAGCAACGCCGCGUGAGUGAUGAAGGUCUUCGGAUCGUAAAACUCUGUUAUUAGGGAAGAACAAAUGUGUAAGUAACUGUGCACGUCUUGACGGUACCUAAUCAGAAAGCCACGGCUAACUACGUGCCAGCAG